AUACGGAGGGUGCGAGCGUUACUCGGAGUCACUGGGCGUAAAGCGUCCGUAGGCGGUCGGGUAAGUCGGGUGUGAAAACCCCGGGCUCAACCUGGGGAGUGCACCCGAUACUGCUCGACUCGAGUGCGGGAGAGGAUGGCGGAAUUCCCGGUGUAGCGGUGAAAUGCGUAGAGAUCGGGAGGAACACCAGUGGCGAAGGCGGCCAUCUGGCCCGCAACUGACGCUGAGGGACGAAAGCGUGGGGAGCAAACAGGAUUAGAAACCCUAGUAGUCC
rnacentral:rRNA from 1 species